AACUAGAGUGAACAGUUAUGGACAAAGGGUGCUUAAAAAGUCAGUCACAUUUUCACCAGUCUUUCAUUAGUGUUUGAAAGUGGUAAAUAUGACUGAAAACAGCCUAAAUUAAAUAAUCGAGUCACUCAUCUGCCCUGUCUUUAACACCCGGCAGGCGGAGCAACGAGCGCGAGCCCAUGAGAUGAACCGUUAACCCACGGGUAGGGGGUGCGCGCGCAGAGAAUCUGUAGUCACUCACACCUCACUGGCUCGCGCUCACCAGCCGUGUUAUUAUAGCGGGGCAUCUGACGGACUAGCCGACAGAGAGGCGCGAAGUGAACCUGCAGGAGCUGCUCGCCACGGGGGACCAUGGUCAUCAUGAAUCGCUCGCCGGAUAGCAGGACUUGAGACCUGCGGUUUAUCUGCAAUCUCCGAGAUUGUCCCUCAUAGUACACCUAGAAUUUCCUCCACUUCCAUCAUCUGGAAUUGCUUUAACACUAGAACUAAUCAUGCUGUGGAAAACGGGACUGAUAAUUCUGUGCUGGGGCUUGACGUCCGGGGAACUCCAGAACGGGCAGCCCGGCACUCCUGCUGCUCCGGCGCGGAGAACUUUGGAUUUCGGCUUCGUCCCCUCCGGAGUUUAUGAGACCGUCGCCUAUUACGAGCCUGGGGCCAUUGGGAUUUUAUUUAACAUGAUGCACGCUUUCCUCUUUGUAGUUCAGCCUAACCCGUUUCCUGAAGAUCUCGUCAUUAGAGUGGCAAAGGAUAAAUUCGGAGCCAUACAAUCCGAGUACCAGAAGCCAGAAAACAUUGUUCUGACGCUACAGGUGAUUUAUUAUGAGAUUGGAUUUGUGGUGUGUGCGGCACUGGGCCUGCUGUUCACCGUGCUGCUGCCGCUGGUGGGGCUUCUCUUUUGUUUGUGCCGCUGCUGUGAUAACUGUGGAGGAGAGAUGCACCAGAGACAGAGGAAGAACGCAGACUGCCUUAGAGGACUGCUGACCACACUGUUACUCACAUCCACCUUCAUUAUCACGGCAGGGGUCCUUUGUGCAUAUGCAGCCAAUCAGAACCUGAGUUCUCAGCUGAAGAGCAUGAGAAGGCUGGUGAAGAGUAACCUAAGAGACCUGCACACCUUCGCCAAUCAGACCCCUGCACAAAUUGAUUACCUGAUCUCUCAGUAUGGCACCGUGAAGCAGCAUGUGCUGUAUGACCUGGAGAAUGUAGGUCUGCUCUUGGGUGGAAGGAUACAUGAGGAGUUGGGAAAAGAUGUGCAGCCCGCCCUCAACACGGCUCUCAGCAUGACUGGAACAAUGCGAGACACUAAGGAUGCUCUAGAGAACGUGAGUUUGACCUUGGAGACUUUGCAGGAAGGAACAGCCAAACUGCAGGCUAACCUCAGCCUGGUGCGCAACAGCCUUAGCAACGUCCUUACCGAUCCUCUCUACAAAGACGUAUGCCCGUCUGAGAUUUGUCGCAACAUACUUAGCACCCUUCCCAGGCUAGAAAUUGCAGCCAACUACUCAUCGUUGUCUGAUGUGACUGAACAGUUAGACAAAGUGAAUGAAGUUCUGAAGACGGAUCUCGGCCAGAUUGUGGAAAAGGGGUUUACAUCAUUCAAUGACACUCCCACCAUGGUAACAGAUCAAACCCGAAAUAUCGUUGAAGGGGUGAAGGUUCUGCUGAACGACAUUGGGUCUAACAUCACCACUUUCACCAGACUCUUCCCGGUUCACAGCUCUCUGACCAACUUCACCAAAAUGAUUACUCACACACACUCACAGAUCGAGGACAUCUACCCACAGAUCGAUCAGAUGGAUUUCUACAGGUGGAUCUGUUGUAUUACCCUGUGCUGUAUGGUUGUGCUUAUCCUCGCCUUCAAUUUUCUGGGUUUGCUGUGUGGUAUUCUGGGAUACGACAGGCAUGCUUCUCCAACAACACGCGGUUGUGUCUCUAACACAGGAGGCAACCUGCUCAUGGCUGGUGUGGGCUUCAGCUUCAUGUUCUCUUGGGUGCUCAUGGGAGUGAUAACAGCUCUGUUCUUGGCGGGGGGGAAUCUAGAGAAGCUUGUGUGUGAACCCUUCCAAACCCGACAGCUGUUCAAGGUGUUAGAUACGCCCAACCUGGUCAACUCUGCUUGGAGAAACUUUAUACCAGGAUACCUGUACAAUGACCCCGAGAUGGACCUUACAGCAUAUUCUAUCUACAGUAAUUGUAAGGACAAUAGAGGGAUUUACUCAGCUCUUCAUCUGGAUAAGAUCUUCAACAUCUCAUCCUUCUUUAACACCAGUGUUUACUCCAAGGAUGUGUCGAAGAAGUUUGAAGGGAUGAAGGUGGACCUGCGUGGCAUCAUUCUUCUGGAGUCUGAAGGCAAACAGAAUCUCAUCAGCUUUACUGAAACUGGCAUUAAUGAGAUUGACUUUGCUGCCUAUUUGGAGGAGGUUAAUAAAGGAGUGACUCGCAUUAAUCUAGCUGAUUUCGCCAAUCAACUCGAUGCUCAAGCUGAUCAGUUGUCUAAAGGGACCUUGCAGACUUCAUUAAAGGGACACGCUAAUACUAUAAGGCAGAUCCACAUCCAGCAAGUCAUCCCGCUGGAACAGUCCAUGAAAUAUGUGAAAGCAAGGAGCACACUUAAUCAGAGCAUCAGACUUCUGGAGAGGACGUCCUCAGACCUGCCUCUCCGAGUUAGAGAUGUACUAGAAGCCGUUGAUGCCGCCCAGUUCCUGAUUUCCCACAAUGCAACAUUUGUGAUCAAUCAGGAAACCGAGAAAUACAAGCAGACUAUCAUUGGCUAUUUCAAGCAGUACAUGGACUGGAUCAGAACGUCUUUGGCCUUGGAGGUUGCUCCCUGUAAACCGUUCAGCAACAUUGUGGACACUGCCGAGAUCCUGGGCUGCAGUUUCCUGCUGGAUUCAAUGAACACGUUCUGGUUUGGACUGGGCUGUUCCACGCUGUUUCUGCUCCCUAGCAUUAUCCUGUCCGUCAAGCUUGCCAAGUUCUACCGCAGAAUGGACACAGAGGAUGUCUAUGACGACAUUGAAACAAUUCCCAUGAAAACUAUGGAAAUUGGUAAUAAUGGUUAUUAUAAUGAACAUUUAGAAGGUAUCCAAAACCCUGUAAUGGCAAGCAUCCCAACCUAUGACACUAUGACUCGAUUCCCACGGGCCUCUGCGCCCCCGCGCCAUGCUGACUGGUGACUCUGAGGAGGACGCUUAGUUUUUUAACAACAGAAAGUGAUAUUGGAAACUGGAAUUGAACCUUUGUGGAAUACUCUCUCUGUGAACAGCAGGCUCAGCUCAGACAGACAACAUUAAGAAAAGGAAACUCAUUAUACUUGAAGCUGGACCUGUUGUCGAUGUUCCCAUGACAUCAACCAAGAUGACUUUUUAAUCGAAAUGUCCUUACUAUUGUUGUUGUUUUGACUAUUUUGCACCCUUAUGAUUAAAGUACUCUUACGGACUGUCCUCUGAAUGAGCUAUGUCACAUCCUGUCAGUCAGAGAGACUUCAAAGUAUAUGGCUGUUUUAACUACUACAUGUGUCUUUGUUUACAGUCGUUGAGAAAUCACAUGUGACGGACAUAACAAUGCGUCAACUGUUUGUUGUUUUUCUUGUGUUUCUUUUUUCUUUUUAUAGUGCUUUUUAACAUUGUGGAGAAUUCAACAUAUUGAAGUCGAGUCCACUGAGAGGCUGAAGGGAUUUUUGUUGAAACAGAGCAAGCCAGCCACCCAUGAGCCACAAAUAUUACACAAACAAAGAUGUUUAGGUGUUUGAAAGAAUACUAAGUGCUAACUAGUGUUAAUAUGGUACAGAUAGAUGUUGUCAAGCCAUUUCAACAGUGAAUGCAUUGUUGCCUUUUCAGAUUAUUAGCCCGUGGUACGUGUAAGCCAUGCCACAAGUCGCAAGAGCAGGUCUGAUUAGUUUUACCUAGUUUAUUGUGACUGAGAAUGCUAAACCACAUUUGAUACUGAUCUCUCGUUAAUUAACAGUUUAAGAUGUCUGUGUGUUUAUGCUCACUUUUGUCCUUAGAAAGUUUAAGAUAUGAUGCAUUUGGUUUUAUUAACAACACUACAAGAUCUUGGUAGCUUUUUAAUUUCUCAGUUAUUAAUGAUAUUCCGGUCCCUAAUUUUGUUGACUGUACUAACCGUUGUUCUAACUGUUGUUCCAACACAUUGUUGGAUUACUGUAAACUACUGAUUAUUGCUUUUUGACACCAAAUCUUCUUUCAUUGUAGGUCUCAGGUCUUAGGGCUUUUUGUUUACUUGAUAUACUAAUAUUUGUGGAUAUUCAUCUGUUGAUUAUAUGAACUUGCUGUUGGCUUUAAAGCUAGAGAAUGUACAUUUGCUUGUACGAGAGCAAGGGAAGACCACAGAGCCCCUUUACGUCGACAUUUACGGAGCCUAUUUAACGCUGUCAUAGUCAUUGACAAUUAUGCCACCAAAUAUUUCAGCUGUUCAAUGUUAGAGACGUUAUGUCAGGUGCUACAUAUUUUUGCUCAGAUCCUUCACACAUUGUGUAUAUGACAGUGUUAUCAGGGCCUCAGGUAAAAUGUUGUACUUGAUUUAUACCCAGAAAGGUCCCUUCACCUCACAGUCUCACUUGUUUUGCCAUACCACACGUAGCAUGCGCAUACUUGGUGUUCAAGCUUGCUCGAAGAUGUUUAGUUGUGGUGGGCCUGGUUGUCAGUGCCGUUGGUUUUCAAGUCCAUGUGGUUAGGCUGGCUAAAACUGUACAAUAUUGUGAAUAAAAUUUCAGAUGAAAAUAA